UGUAGGAUAAAAAACGUUAUAGUUAUGAUAUUUAAAAUGAAAAUUGUUUUCAAAAUGUAUUUGAAAACUAAAAAUAUGUUAUAUAUCAAUAAACGUAAAAUAUUGUUAAACAUAAUACAACUUAUAACGUAAGACCAGGGCUGCAUCAAAACUUACAUGGUAUAUGUGAAAAUAUCAUAAAAAAAAGUGAAAAUAUAAUCUAUGAACAAACUGAUGGAAUGGCAAUAGGAUAAAGACUAGUACCAGUAUUUGUUAACAUACUCAUGGAAUGGUUUAAGAUAAAACAAUGAGUACAUGCACUUAAAAACGCAAAAUGUAGUUACGAUACGUAGACGACAUAUUUGUUUUAUGGCAACACGGCGUUGAUCAACUAAAAUCUUUCUUGCGAUAUUUAAACAGCAAACGUGCUUAUAUACAGUUCACAAUUUGAAACCGAGAAAAAUUAACAAUUGCCGUUCUUGGAUGUAUAUUGGUCAAAAAACAGUACAAUGGAAAAUUCAGCACGGAAGUGUAUCGAAAAAGUACACAUACUGCCAGAUAUUUAUAUGUCGAUUUAUACCACUGCACCUCAAAAAAAUGACGUUACUAUAUAUAAUGAAAACAAGAGCUGUUAGAAUAGCUGACGGAGAACACGUGAAAGAUGAAAAAUCAUAUCUACGGCAAGUACUACAAAAUCAUUGAUACACAAUUAGAAACAUAAACAACGCACUUAGGAAAGCGGAAAAAAUACAACGUGCAACAAUGAUGAUGAAAACAAAGAAGCGAAAAAAAAUGAACACUAAUACUGCCGUACAUACAAGCAAUUAUCGACCGCAUUUCAAGAAUCGCAAAUAAAUUUAAAAUAAGAACAGUCUCCAAACCAAACACAGUUAUAGGAUCACUACUCCGAAAUUCAAAAGACAAACUGUCAGAAAUGCAAACACCCGAAGUCUAUGAAAUACCGUGUUCAUGUGAUAAAUCAUACAUUGAACAAACAAGAAGAGCUAUUACAGCAAGAAUAAAAAAACACAAAAAAGAUGUAGAUUUAUAAAGGACAGAAAAAUCCGCAGUAGUUGAACACGCCAAAAAGUGUACACGAGUCCAAUUUGACAAAGUCAAAAUACUGAUACAAAGGAGUUCAUUUUGGCAAACGGAUGUAUAAAAAAGCAAAAAAAAUUGAAAAAUGUCUAGAAAAUUACAACAGAGAAGAUGGAUGGUUUAUUAGCAAGACUUGGUUUCCUAUCAUACAACAGGCAAAAAGAAAAUCAACAUACAACAAAGAAACUAAUUUAAUGCGUGAAAAAACUAUAAUUAACAUAACAGAAAAAUGCCGGUGUAAAAAAAGGAAGAGUCAAAUGCCAAGAAUGCCAUAAACAACAACAAAAACAAAAACCGGACAUAAAAAAUAAACUGUCAGUUGUCAACAACACAACAAAAACAACAACAGAUAAAUAACAUUGAUGUUAUCAGUUAUCAACUGAUAUAAAAACACACCGUAAACAAGUUAAGCUAACAUUAUAAUUGUAACUUGGAGCUUGUAACUAUCUCUCUGAAGAUGGACUCUGCAACAGGUCCGAAAUGUAAGCUCAUAACUGAAAACGUGGAUACAUCCGUAAACAUAUCAAAGAUGAAGCUUAUUUCCAUUUGAAUGAUGCUAUCAAUAAACAAAACUGUAGGAUCUAGGGGUUUCACAACCCAUAAAAAAUACUUCCACAAAGAAUGACGGUUUGAAGUGGAGGUGUUAUCUAGUAGAUUUUAACUGACUAUUUUAUUUCUGAAUUGGAACAACGCGAAAUUAAUAAGGAGCAAAAGUGGUUAUAACAUGAUGGUGCAACAUGCCAUACGGGUGCACCUGUGGAUUUAUUGCUUAACAACUUUAAAAGCCGCAUCAUCUCAUGAAUGGCAAUUAAAGUUGGACAUUAAAAUCCUUUGGAUUUUUAUUAUGGGGAUAUAUCUGAUACAUAUCUCUUACUGACAUAAGAUUAUGGUGGCGAGGAAGAAUUUUGAUUUUUUUUAAAGAUGUUACAAAAGAUGUAAGAUUUAAUCUUAAAUGAUUCUAGAAAUUAUAAUCAGGUAAAGCCGAACAAUCGAACAAUAAAGAUGGUUUGAUAAAACAAAUCAGUUAAAUACUUACAUUUCUUCUAAAGUUUCAUUUAUGUUUUUUAACCUUGUUAAAUCUCUUACUAAAUCGAAGUGACUUUUGUAGCAGUUGUCUCGAUCAUAUUGGCAAUGUAAAAGGUCACCUCUUGUAUCAUCGAGCUCAUUGUUUACCUUUUCUAUCUUUUUUGUUAAUUCAUCUGUCUAA